rnacentral:rRNA from 1 species
UGGCGACCGGCGCACGGGUGAGUAACGCGUAUGCAACUUACUUAUCAGGAGGGGAUAGCCCGGCGAAAGUCGGAUUAAUACCCCAUGAAACAGGGGUCCCGCAUGGGAAUAUUUGUUAAAGAUUCAUCGCUGAUAGAUAGGCAUGCGUUCCAUUAGGCAGUUGGCGGGGUAACGGCCCACCAAACCGACGAUGGAUAGGGGUUCUGAGAGGAAGGUCCCCCACAUUGGUACUGAGACACGGACCAA